GUGUCACCCGGCGGUUGGCUGGAAUCUUCGCGAGAUUCACCGGGCGAUUCGUCUCCUCAUCUCUUCAUCUAUCCUUCUUUCCUCGCCCCUCGCCUCCGCGGUCCGCUCCGCAUCUUCCCGCGGCCGCCCCGACCUUGCCUCCAUCACCUGUGUGCCUAGGCUCCUCAAAGCAUGUCUCCUCAUCUUCUCGGCUCCGUUCAGGGGGGUGCGGUUCAUCGGCGAGGGAGGCGCUGCACUUCUGCGGCGCGCUUCACCGCCGAUUAGUGCGGCCCUGUAGCACAGCAGCGCGUCGUGGUGGAGAUGGUAUGGUGGUCAUCCAAAUGCCGCACCAAGUGAGGGCAAGCGGCACAGGUCCUUGCAGGCUGCGACAAGGGGGGCCAGGCGGGCCUUUCCCUGAUAGAGUCUGCUGCUGUCGAUUUCCAUCCGAAAGUUUUGGUGACUCCGUUCGUCCUCCCCCAAUCUACAAUAAUUUUAUUUCUAUUUCACCUGCGGAUAUCCAAUCUGUAGUCUUGCUGUUUGUACUAUUUCAAUUUUUGGUUUCCCCAUCUUAGUGUUCGGUUCUCCAAUUAAAUUUACAUUUGUUAUCCUCCUGUGCAAGGUACAUGAUAAGGAAACCACAAACCAGGGUGAUUCCACCUUAAAGGUUGAUGCCUGUCGCCUGGUAAGGUUGAAUUAUAUGCAUAAAUGAUGGAGAGAUAUUUAGGGAAGUACUAAGUUGGCUCCUCGAUCUCUUUAAAUAAAACAUUCUGCAUGACAGGAGGAAAUUCCUCACUGCAUUUUUAUCACCAUCUGGAGUUUCGAUUGUAUGGGACAGAGCAUACAGUGUGUAUGGGACACAGCAUACAUCGUCCACUUUACUGGCAAGCAAGGAUUUUUGAAUUUUUUUAGCCCAAUACUUUUGACUCAUAUUGCUAUUGCCAUGUUUUCCCCUGUGAUGAAAGGUCCAACUACUUAUCUUUCGACAACUUAGUAGCAAAUGAGAUUAAAAAAAUAAUCCUUUGCUACUUUUUCUAUGACAUUCUAGUGAUCUCGAGGUGCUCGGACUUUUGAAUCCGUAAGCACUGUUUUUUUUUUACUGUGAACGAAAGGAAUGGAGAUAAGCUACAAGGUAACUAUUACUUACUAUUGAAUGAGGUUUAUUCUUUCCAAUUUCCUCAGUUCAUUGCAUAUUUGAGCAGACCAUCUUACAAAUUAAAGGUCUCCAACAUUUCUGCAUUGCACAAUCAACAACACGUCCACAAGCAGUAUGAUGGCGGUGCUGUUUCCACCUAUGCUAUCAAGUGAUCAAGUCUACCAUACCCAAGACUACUCUUAGGUGAUGUUUGGUUAGCUCAAAUGUAACGUAAUUUGAUGUUUGGUUAGCUUAAAUGUAAUGUAAUUUGAUCAUUGAGGGUAACGAAUUCCAUUACAUAUAUUUGGUUGCGGUAGUUUGUAAUCAAUUGACACUGUAAUCAAAUCCCUUACCUAAAUAAUAUCUAUACCAGCUUGUUAUC